rnacentral:rRNA from 1 species
UACGGGGGGAGCAAGCGUUGCUCGGAUUUACUGGGCGUAAAGGGCGCGUAGGCGGCGCAACAAGUCACUUGUGAAAUCUCCGGGCUUAACCCGGAGCGGCCAAGUGAUACUGUCGUGCUAGAGUGCGGAAGGGGCUACUGGAAUUCUCGGUGUAGCGGUGAAAUGCGUAGAUAUCGAGAGGAACACCUGCGGCGAAGGCGGGUAGCUGGGCCGACACUGACGCUGAUGCGCGAAAGCCAGGGGAGCGAACGGG